AUUGAACGCUGGCGGCAGGCCUAACACAUGCAAGUCGAGCGGAAGCACGGUGCUUGCUCCUGCUUUCGGCGGCGGACUGGUGAGUAAUUCCUGGGAAUCUGCCUGUCUGUGGUUUCUUACGUCCGAACAUGGGCGCUAUUACCCCAUUCCUCCUGACGGCCUAAGUGUGGGAUCUUCGGACCUUCCGCUAUCGCAUGAUCCUAGGUCGGAUUAGCUAGUUGGCGGGGUAAAGGCCUACCAAGGCGACGAUCCGUAACUGGUCUGAGAGGAUGAUCAGUCACACUGGAACUGAGACACGGUCCAGACUCCUACGGGAGGCAGCAGUGGGGAAUAUUGGACAAUGGGCGAAAGCCUGAUCCAGCCAUGCCGCGUGUGUGAAGAAGGUCUUCGGAUUGUAAAGCACUUUAAGUUGGGAGGAAAGGCAGUAAGUUAAUACCUUGCUGUUUUGACGGUACCAAAAGAAUAAGCACCGGCUAACUUCGUG
rnacentral:rRNA from 1 species